GACACGCAUUGGAGGCCUCGGGUUUCACAGUCCUGGGCAGAGGCCGCCCCCAAGGUGCUGACCCAGCCUGCCACCCUCGACCAAAAUAAACCCAGGGCAAGGUGCUUAGAUCAGCCACUCCCCAAACCCCAUGGCCUGAUCCGGGUUGCAGAUCCGGUCACUGUGGGCCCCGCGGAAAGGGCCAUCCGUGGCGCCAAAAGGCCUGAGACGUAGACCAAUUGACCUCAAAGAAUAAAAAGUUCAUUCUGGGGAGAUCCAGGCUAGAGGAAGUGAUUACAGCAGCUGACAGCGAAAGAACGCUUUCCAAUCAUGGGGUCUUCAGGUCUCUCCAAGGCGAUCAGAGGAAUCCAGGACCUGUGUGGUCCCCUUCACAGGUUGUGAUGAAAGGACGAUGAAAGAUGAAGGGAGCCUGUGUGGCGAGUGCCCUGUGCUGUGCCUGAUGUCCUAAAACAUCUGAUGUCAUCCAGGACACUCCCAGCUCACCUAGGCUCCUGCUUACUCAGACACUGGAAAGUUUUCUGAGGGACGCAGCUGAGCCCAGCCAUCCCCGCCCACUGCAAUAAUCCACCAAGAAUGCUGACGACCAGAAGAUGGAGUGAGUGGACAGCUCAGGUCCGGGCUCUGGGGGGAAGGGUCACACAAUGGCCUGAGGUCGAGGCUGCUCCGACAGAGCUUCAUGGAGCGGAGGCAUCACUGCACCGAUGGAACUGCUUGGAAAAUCCUUCCUGGUAACUGUAUCGGAUCAUUUUGCCAAACAGCUGCCCAUCCAGCACACAGGGGCCGCGGCUCUGUUUCUCUUGGCCUACUUCGGGGCAGGAGAGGCAUGUACAGGGGACUGGAGGACAUGACACCCUCCCCCCUGGCCUCUAGCACCUGUGGCCUGCCCCUGGAGCAGAGCCUGGGAGAGGAUUUGCGGGAUUCUGCCAGCACCAGCAAGGCUCCUGGAAGCCCUGUGGAUAGGCCUCCCGCCCUGGGUUGACCUCAGUGGGUUUGCCCUUGCGAGGGACAGAAACGGGCUUAAAAAAAAUUUUUUUUUUAAUGUUUAUUUUGGAGAGAGAGAGAAACCCAUACAGUGCAAGCAGGAAAGGGGCAGAGAGGGAGACACAAAAUCCUGAAGCGGGCUCCAGGCUCUGAACUGUCAGCACAGAGCCCAACGAGCCCGAUGCUGGGCUCGAACUCACCAACCAUGAGAUCAUGACCUGAGCCGAAGUCGGACACUUGACCGAGUGAGCCACCCAGGUGCCCCUGCGAGGAACAAGGCUCUUAAAGACAUCGGCUCGGAUGGGUUGGCAGCAAGUCCGAUGUAGGGUCCAACCCCCUGUGGAAAAUGGCUCGGCACUUCCUCGAAAGGCUAAAUGUAGAGUUACCUCAUUAUCUGGCAAUCCCACUCCUGGGGAUAGACCCAAAAGAAGUGAGAACAGGCGUCCACACAAAUCCUCGUACGCCCCGUUCGCAGCAGCCCUGUUCGCAAUUGCCAAAAGGUAGAAAGUGCCCAAAUGUCCAUCAAUGGAUGAACGGAUGAACAAAAUGCGGUCCAUCCCUGCAGUGGAAUAUUAUUCAGCCAGAGAAAGGAAUGAAGCCCUGACACGCGCUACAACGCGGAGGAAGCUUAGAAACAUUGCGCUCAGCGAAAGACACCAGACACACAAAAAAACCCACAUAGUAUAUGAUUCUAUCUACGUGGAAAGUCCAGAA